GACAGAGGGUGCAAACGUUGUUCGGAAUUACUGGGCGUAAAGCGCGUGUAGGCGGCUUCGCAAGUCGGGUGUGAAAUCCCACGGCUCAACCGUGGAAGUGCAUUCGAAACUGCAAGGCUAGAGUCCUGGAGAGGAAGGUGGAAUGCUUGGUGUAGAGGUGAAAUUCGUAGAUAUUCGGAAGAACACCGGUGGCGAAGGCGACUUACUGGACACAUAUUGACGCUGAGGUGCGAAAGCGUGGGGAGCAAACAGG
rnacentral:rRNA from 1 species